GGGCGUGUGCGAUACAUGUGGGGAAAAAUAGCCGAUGUCCACAUCAGAAUGAAACGGGUAGAAUGUUAUUUAGAUGACGUUGCCUGGCGUGGUAGCGGCCUAGGAAUUGUCUGUAGUUAGCGAUAUUUUGUGAAUAUAAUUAAUACAUGUUAUAUUUGAGUUGUUUUGUUAAAAGGUGAUCUCGCUGUUUUUAAUCAAGCGCUGUUCAGAACGCUACUGAAGACGCGCGUUGACAGUGUUGUCACGUGCUGUUCCUCGAGAAAAACAGCGCUGGAUCUUCAACGCCACGAAAAUCUAUACAUCGCACAACAACAGUGCGCUCAAAACACAAACUCUAAUGUGCAGCUCCAACUGUGUAAUUCAGCGUGUUUUGCUCGUGCAGAGCCCGAUUCAUGGCUUUACAAAGAUCUUGGCGUAGCUGAGAAUGGUCUGAGGUGAUUUGUGUGGGACACAGGCAUCACGACUGGGCAUCCCUGCGGAGAAUCGCUCCAGCGCUUUCAUCUGGAUGUGAGGACUGGUCUAGUUAUCCGUCUCUCACCUCCUCUGCAUUUUUCCUUUUUUUUUUUGGAUUGU
rnacentral:lncRNA from 1 species